ACACGUAGGGGCCUGACGUUGUUCGGAAUCAUUGGGCGUAAAGGGCGCGCAGGCGGCCGUCCAAGUCCGGUGUUAAAUGGUCGGGCUCAACCCGAUCAUGCGCUGGAAACUGGGCGGCUUGAGUCCCGUAGGGGAUGCCGGAAUUCCAGGUGGAGGGGUGAAAUCUGUAGAUAUCUGGAAGAACACCGAUGGCGAAGGCAGGCAUCUGGCCGGAGACUGACGCUGAGGCGCGAAGGCGCGGGGAGCGAACAGGUUUAGAUACCCUGGUAGUCCGCGCAGUAAACGAUGCGCACCAGGUGUCGGGCGGCAGCGCCCGGUACCGGAGCUAACGCGAUGAGUGCGCCGCCUGGGGAGUAUGCCCGCAAGGGUGAAACUCAAAGGAAUUGGCGGGG
rnacentral:rRNA from 1 species